rnacentral:rRNA from 1 species
UAGGGAAUCUUCGGCAAUGGACGAAAGUCUGACCGAGCAACGCCGCGUGAGUGAAGAAGGUUUUCGGAUCGUAAAACUCUGUUGUUAGAGAAGAACAAGGACGUUAGUAACUGAACGUCCCCUGACGGUAUCUAACCAGAAAGCCACGGCUAACUACGUGCCAGCAGCCGCGGUAAUACGUAGGUGGCAAGCGUUGUCCGGAUUUAUUGGGCGGAAAGCGAGCGCAGGCGGUUUCUUAAGUCUGAUGUGAAAGCCCCCGGCUCAACCGGGGAGGGUCAUUGGAAACUGGGAGACUUGAGUGCAGAAGAGGAGAGUGGAAUUCCAUGUGUAGCGGUGAAAUGCGUAGAUAUAUGGAGGAACACAAGUGGCGAAGGCGGCUCUCUGGUCUGUAACUGACGCUGAGGCUCGAAAGCGUGGGGAGCAAACAGG